rnacentral:rRNA from 1 species
ACUCCUACGGGAGGCAGCAGUAGGGAAUCUUCCGCAAUGGGCGAAAGCCUGACGGAGCAACGCCGCGUGAGUGAUGAAGGUCUUCGGAUCGUAAAACUCUGUUAUUAGGGAAGAACAAAUGUGUAAGUAACUAUGCACGUCUUGACGGUACCUAAUCAGAAAGCCACGGCUAACUACGUGCCAGCAGCCGCGGUAAUACGUAGGUGGCAAGCGUUAUCCGGAAUUAUUGGGCGUAAAGCGCGCGUAGGUCGGUUUUAAGUCUGAUGUGAAAGCCCACGGCUCAACCGUGGAGGGUCAUUGGAAACUGGAAAACUUGAGUGCAGAAGAGGAAAGUGGAAUUCCAUGUGUAGCGGUGAAAUGCGCAGAGAUAUGGAGGAACACCAGUGGCGAAGGCGACUUUCUGGUCUGUAACUGACGCUGAUGUGCGAAAGCGUGGGAUCAAACAGGAUUAGAUA